UACGAAGGGGGCUAGCGUUGCUCGGAAUCACUGGGCGUAAAGGGUGCGUAGGCGGGUCUUUAAGUCAGGGGUGAAAUCCUGGAGCUCAACUCCAGAACUGCCUUUGAUACUGAAGAUCUUGAGUUCGGGAGAGGGUGAGUGGAACUGCGAGUGUAGAGGUGAAAUUCGUAGAUAUUCGCAAGAACACCAGUGGCGAAGGCGGCUCACUGGCCCGAUACUGACGCUGAGGCACGAAAGCGUGGGGAGCAAACAGG
rnacentral:rRNA from 1 species